AACUACCUAAAAGAGGCAUAAAAACGUGCUUACCGUGGUGACGGACCUGCUCGUUUAGCUCCUGUGCCGUGCCUAGCCGAAAAGCUGCGCACAUGACCACACGACCCGGCUAAUAUCCGUGCCGGCCCGUUUACAGCCGUGCCGCCGGCCCGUUUGGCCUCCUACCCACUCCCACCGUACUUCUCUACUCAACAGCUCAAAACACAAAAGAUCUCAUAAAACUAGUAGUAUGAAAGAGAAGAAGAGAAUAAUGAAUAUACUGUAAGUAAAAUUCCUCUUCCCCUCGCCGCCGCCUGCCGCCGCCGUUGAAGCUGAAGGGAAGAGGAGGGGGAGGACGACAACCGGGCGCCCUGCUGCCUCCGGCACGAGCUGCGGCCUGCUGCUGCCGGUACACAGCCUCGUGUGCUAACCACCGCCCCGGAGGCGGUUCUUGAGUUUUGGUCGCUGGUUGGGCGGUGGCGGCGCUGCGGCUAGCUGGUUGCUGGGAGAGAGAUGGCGCCAGUGAGGAGGAAGCGCGGCGCAUCCGCGGCUGCCGCAGCGGCGGCGGCCGCAGCGCAGUGGAAGGCCGGCGACCUGGUGCUCGCCAAGAUGAAGGGCUUCCCCGCAUGGCCAGCCAUGGAAUAUUGGUUUUGGUUAUCUUCAAUAUUUUUUUUUUGGGACAUAAUCUUGUCCAAAGUUCUUGUUCAGUUAAUGAAUUCACUGAGCUGUAAUAAGUGCGUGAUGCAUAUGUUAUUUUU